AUAUAUAUAUAUAUUUAUUAUAUAUUAUUAUUGUGGUGCGCGCGCGAAAUAAAUAAGAAGAGAAAAGGAAUAGAGGAGUAUUAUCAUUUGGAAAGGUAGUGCUACCUACUCUUCGGAUCGACAAGUGUGUUCCUACUUGAUUGUUUCCUUGUGUGUGCAUAUGUGUGAAUGUGUGUAUGCAUGGUAAGGGGGUAUGAGAGAGAGAGAAAGAGAAUAAGAGAUGGUAUUCUUGAUAUUUAACAGUUAAAUAAAAGUGACCACAAGAAAACUUGGGAUUACGAUGAAUGAAAUAUUUAGAGAAAGAAAGUGAGAGAGUGUUGGAGAGAAAAUUUUAAUUGCGACUA